CGUCCAUGGCCCAUGUGACAGACAGCUGCCCCUACAAUAGGGAAGUCCUGCUCAGAGCUGAGAAUCCGUGGGGAAGUGUGGAAAUGAGGCAGGCGGAUGAGGCAACAAGAGCCGGCAGAAGGACCUCCCUCAUCACGCUCCCCCAACUCCUCGGUCUCCCGGCCCAGAGCUGACCAUGCCCCUUACCCACCGAGAACUCGCCCUCCCGAGGAGUCCUCCCUGGAGACCAGCAGUCAGCCAGCCCCCAGAACUACAGAGAGUCAAGAAACUAGUGACCGUGUUGGGCAUGUGCUGACGGCCGAUGCCCAAAGCAUGGAGAGACAGCAGCGGGCAGGACGGGAACUCAAAUGCCAGACAGGAUCUGGGGGCAGGCAGGGGCUGUCUCCGCCUCCUUUCCUUCCUCCUCUGUCCUCCCCACCCCGCCAUCAGCCCCCACCCCCGUGGGGCCCAUGGAGCAGAAGCCACAGUCACUUCCUGAAGGCAGCGGCCCAGCUCAGGUCCCACUCGCCCUGUGGCCCAUCACCCGCCUGUAGCCAUGGGGAGCCAUCAGGACUUCCGGAGCCUUCAAGCAAAGUUCCAGGCCUCUCAGCUCGAGACCAGUGAACUCCCCAAAAAACCCCUGAAGCCUGAGUUCCACAAACCCCUAAAGAAGCUUCCAACAGCUGAGCUAAGCGAGCACCCCAAAAAGCCCCCGCAGCCCGAGUUCAAUGCAGUGCCCAGGAAGCCUUCGCAGCCCAGUUUCGCUGAUCUGCCCAGGAAGCCCUCCAAACCCGAGUUCAGUGAACCCUCCAAGAAGUUCCCGCAGCUCGGGGCCCCUCAAAAGGCCUUGCCCCCCCCAGAGCCCAAAUCCAGCGCCUUCCCCAAAAAGCUACAGCAGCCUGAGCCCAACGAGGCCACCCCAGACCCCUCACAGCCCAACUUCAGUACCCUCCCCAAGAAGCCCCCGCAGCCUCAGGUCGGUGAGCUUCCUAAGAAGUGCCUGCCGCAGCCUGAGUUCAGUGAGGUCCCUCAGACACCCCCUUGGAAGGUGGAGACCAGUGGGCCCCACCCCCACCCCUCAAAGCCUGACGUCAGUACCCUCCCCAAGAAGCCCCCACAGCCUGAGUCCGGUGGGCACCCCAAAAAGCCCCCGCAGCCUCAGGUCGGUGAGCUCCCUAAGAAGUGCCUGCCGCAGCCUGAGUUCAGUGAGGUCCCUCAGACACCCCCUUGGAAGGUGGAGACCAGUGGGCCCCACCCCCACCCCUCAAAGCCUGACGUCAGUACCCUCCCCAAGAAGCCCCCACAGCCUGAGUCCGGUGGGCACCCCAAAAAGCCCCCGCAGCCUCAGGUCGGUGAGCUCCCUAAGAAGUGCCUGCCGCAGCCUGAGUUCAGUGAGGUCCCUCAGACACCCCCCUGGAAGGCUGAGUCCAGUGAGCCCCACCCCCACCCAUCACAGCCAGACUUCAGUACGAAACCCAAGAAGAUCCCAGCCCCUCAGCUGAGUGACCUCCCCAAGAAGCUCCUGCACCCUGAUUUUGGAGACCUCACCAGGAGGUCCUCAGAGCCGGAAGUCAGUGUGGUUCCCAAGAGGCCACGGCAGUCCGAAUUCAAAGCACCUUCCAAGAAGCCCCUGCAGCCCGAGCCGGGGGGCCUACCCAGGGUGGCCUCAGAGCCUGAGUUUGGCCUACUCCCCAGCAAGUUCCUGCAGCCUGAGUGCCAGGGGCCCCCCCGCAAGUUCUCACAGCCCGAGCCCAGUGCUCUGCCCAAGAAGCGCCCGCAUGCCGAGUUCUUUGGUGAUCUUCCCAGAAAGCCCCCUCUCCCUGGCUCUGUUUCGGAGAGCUCGCUCCCCACUGCUGUCGCGGGCCCCGGCCCCAGGCUCCCACUCAGUCUCACUCACAGUGGACGGUCGAGGCUGGGCCUCAAGCAGGGCCACCCGCCCCGGCGGAGGCCUCUGCCCCCUGCCAGCAGCCUGGGACCCCCUCCAGCCAAGCCCCCGCUGCCCCCAGGCCCCAGGGACGUUCAGAGCUUCCGGAGAGCCGCAGCUGCAGCCACAGCUCUGAGGAGGGCUCGUUCCGCUGCUGCCAUCCACUUCCAGGAGCAACAGACGAAAGACAUCCCGCAGGACCAGGAUGAGAUCUACGAGCUGUAUGACGACGUGGGGCCCACAGACCACUCCGGCCCCAGCGGCGAGGGCAGAGAUGGGGUGCCAUCUACCCAGCAACCCCCCAGGCCGCCACAAGACCCAGAGCUCAGGAAGGAGAAGGCCCCCCAGCCCCAGCAGUUGCCACCUGCAGACCUUAAGUCUCUGAAGCAGAUCCGGAAGGCAGAGAAAGCCGAGAGGGAGUUCCGGAAGAAGUUCAAGUUUGAGGGAGAGAUAGUGAUUCAGACAAGGAUGAUGAUCGAUCCCAACGCCAAGACGCGUCGCGGGGGUGGCAAGUACCUGGGGAUCCGGCGUGGGGAGAUCCUAGAGGUGAUCGAGUUCACCAACAAGGAUGAGAUGCUGUGCCGGGACACCAAGGGCAAAUAUGGCUACGUGCCCAGAACAGCUCUACUGCCCCUGGAAACGGAGGUGUAUGACGAUGUUGGCUUCUAGGGUAUGUAGGUGCUCUAGGUGGGCUGGAAGGGAUCACGGUGCCUGGAAGGAGACCCUCUGGAGAGCCAUCCAUUCCCCAGGGGACAGUAAGGCCCACAGGUGUGGGUACCCAGGACAACCUGCCCGCCCAGCCACCUGCUAACCCAGGAGCCUUGGAUCCCAGCUUGGCAGUCACAGAACCAUCCAGGCUCGUGCCUGACUGCAUACAUGAACCACAUAAAGCUCCUAUUUAAAGCGA